AAAAAAACACUUUAGUUGAAUAAAAAUCCUCGUCAUGUGUGAAUUAGGAUUAAGGUUACAUUUUGAUUAUUUUUGUGAAAGCAUAUAACUGUUUUAAACAUUAGUGUGACGUUUGGUACGGGGUAAUGUUUUAGGAUUCCCAUGAAUGUUUAAAGAUUCCCAUGUUUGGUUGCAAAUCACGCCAGGGAAUUAGAUGCCAGGAGAAUAUGGAUUUUCCCUUUAAACCCCCCUCAAUAGGAAUGUGAAUUCCCUUUAAAAUAGGUGGGUAUCCAGAUUCCCAUCUUUAAAGGAAAUUGUAUUUUUUUAUAAAUUGACAAUUUUAACCAUUUUUCCUUAUCAUUUAAGCAAUUAAGAUAAAAUAUUAAACAAAUCAUCAAUAUCUUUUCCCUUAUCUUUAUCUUUUCUCGCCAAAAUAGCAUAAACAGGAUAGACAACUUUGUUGAUAUAUUCUUUAACAAAGUUCUAUUUAGGUUUCAUGUGUAGAAAAAAAAAAGUUUGAAGGGGACCCUUCAUUAUUGCCAGGAUAUCAAUGAUGAUGAGGAUGAAGAUGAUGAAACUGGAGAUAUUGCAAAAAUGGCUAGGACACUGAAAUAUUUACGGGAAAAAUUUGGUGGAGUCAAGGAUGCUAUGCAUGAAGAUGAGGAAGAACAAGAGCCUCUAUAGGGUGGAAAAAAGAAGGGAUAUUAUGAUGCUGAUAAUGCUGAUUACGAGGCACAAUCAAGUGAUGAUGAGGGACUUUUGAGGGAGGAGGAAGCGGUUUUGAAAUUACGGAUGCAAAAAGCAAAAUCUUAUACAAAUGAAGACUCUGGUCAUGAUGUUAAUGAAGAUUGGAGUGAUCUGAGUGAUAGGGAAUUAACUGUAGAGGAAAUGUCAGCCAAAAGAAAAAGCAGGAAAAAAUCUCCUGGGAUAAAAGAAGCCUUAGAUGACACGGGCAGCUUAUGAGGAGGUUAAGAAAGAUUUGAGUGCUCUAUCAGAAGAGGAACAAAUGGAUGUUUUAUAUAGGUUAAAAAGGAGGAAAUCAUGAUGGAAGGACGAGUGCGUUAUUUGAAGGUGGAGCAGCUUCUUUUGCUCUUGUAUUGCUAAGCUAUAACUUUCUAUCUCCUCAAGUCUGAAGGGCAGCCCAUUCAUGAUCAUCCUGUGCUAGCUCCCGUUGUAGAGAUCAAGAGCUUAUUGGAUAAGACAAAACAACUUGAUGGGAAUCUUCCAUCCGAACUUGAGGAGUUCCUGGACAACAAUCAAGGGAUUGAGUGGUAGUAAAGUUGGGUAGAGAGAUUACUACAUUAUCAAGUGAUUCUUUCACAAAAGAUCAGGGGCCCUAUCCUUCAGCUGAAACCCAAGAAACAACAGUGUCUCAUUACACAGCUGAGUUGGAAAACGUGGAACCUUUGAAGGGUAAUGAGAACAAAGCAGGAAAAUGCAUUGCCAGAGUGAUCAAGUUGGUGUUCAAAGCAUGGAAAUGUUAAAAGUAAGAGCUGCCCUUGAAGAAAGAUUGAAAGAAGAGGGUAUCCUUAGUUCCAGAGCUUCAAAGUCUGAUAAAGCCCUAAACUAUUGAAAAUAUUUUAUUUAUGUCCUCGAACGUUUUAAAAAGAUAUAUUAUUUAAUCCUUAAACUAUUGAAAGAAGUUCUUUCUUUAUCCAUAUUUUUAUCUCUUAAAAAACUCUUAAAAAAAAAAAAAACUAUUUACAAAAUUGAAGGAUGAAAAAAGAAUUUUUUUUUUUAAUUUUUUAAUUUUUUUUUUUAAUUUAGGGAUAAAAACAAGUUUUUAUUAAAAUUUAGAGAUCAAAAUAGUAUUUUACUCUAUAAUCGAAGGAUAGUAAUUCGUGAUGAUUGUGUUUGGGGUUCGAUAGAUCAGUAUGUGAUGUGUAUUAUUUUAAUUAUUUGGCACCUUGUCAUUGACCAGCUGUUAUAUUGCAGGGAUUGCAUAGGACUUAUUGACCUAAUUGCAGGUGAUAUGCUUCCUCUGACUUGGGUCGAGCCUGAAUCUGAACCCAGCCAAACCGACCAAUUGGUCAGGUCUUUGAACACUUUUUUAGGUUUUUGGUUUUGGUUUUCCUGUAUUAAGCCAGGCCACUCUUGUUCUCUGUUUUCAUUUGUUUUUCACUCACCUCACCCCUCACCUUCAUACUGUUGCUGCCGCCCAGUCUCUCCUUCAUUCAGCAAAUCACUCCCACCACCAACACCCCCAGCCCAUGCUCUACCCAUUACCAACCUCUGCUUUCAACCAACUCUAUAAUUUCAAACCAUAAAACUCUCUGUUACUCUCUCCACCACCUUUCACUUCAGCAAUGGGUAUGAGAGGAAAGAUCGUAAAUCCUAAGAGUUUUUUCGCACAACCGUGGUGUUGCCUUGGAUGACAUGGAAGAUGAAAUUGAUGCCUUUCACAGGCAGAGGGAUAUUAUUCCGCUAGAUGCGAAUGGUAAUAUUGUGGAGUCAGAUGAUGGGAUACCUUUGUUCUCAAGGGUAUUAAUGAUGACGAGGAUGAAGAUGAUGAAUUGCAAAAAGUAAGGAAAUUGGUUUGCAAUUUCGUGCAUUGCAUUUACUCAGUUUUGUUCUUUGAAAGUAAAUCUCAAGCCUGUUUGUUUUGAUUUUUGUUUUCUUUUUUUGACCAAAAACAACUGCAUAACUACAUCUACAUAAAGAGAGAUGCUCUAAUUGAAAAAAUGUGAAAAGUUGAAUUAGAGGAAAUUCCUGCUUAAAAUUGUGUAAAUUAUAAGCAUUUUUCUAUAAUAUAAAGACUGAUGUGAGUACUCUUAGUAAAUAAUCUCUCUCUUUCGCAAGGAGCAACACAAGAAAAAAUUGAUGCGAGUACUCUUUAGUAAAUAAUCUCUCUUUUGCAAGGAACAACACAAGAAAAAAUUGAAUAGGCGGAUCAGGCAGCUGCAGGAGAUCAAGAAACCUGUUGGUCCUUAUGUUGGAGAAGCAUCUGGAAUUAAUCUAGCAACUAGUCGGAGUGUUAGAUUCAAGAACUAGUUACUGUUUCUUUGUUUCAGUUUUUCGACUUUGUCAAUUGCAUAGUGCUUGUUGGAUCAUGUAUCAUGUUUGUUUCUCUGAUCCAAAUUUUGAUAUGACAUAUAUAUCAAACUAAUAUAAUAAUUCCCGAGGCUUCAAAUAAUUUGCAUGAUUA